CUUUCUCAGAAAACCAAAUAUGGCAUCUUCCAUGAGGAGCUUGUUUUCUGACCACGGGAAAUAUGUUGAAUCUUUCCGGAGGUUUCUCAACCAUUCCACGGAACACCAGUGCAUGCAGGAAUUCAUGGACAAGAAGCUGCCAGGCAUAAUAGGAAGAUACCAGAAUUGCUGUUAACAAAUAAAAUACUGGCCAGAUGUGUUGGUUCACGCCUGUAAUCCUAGCACUUCGGGAGGCUGAGGCGGGAGGAUUACUUGAGCCUAGGAGUUUGAGACCAGCCUGGGCAACAUAGCAAGAUCCCAUCUCUACAAAAAAGUGAAAAAGUUAGCUGAACAAGGCGGCAUGCACAUGCUACUCCAGACGCUGAAGUGGGAAGAUCACUUAAGUCCGAGAGAUCGAGGCUUCAGUGAGAUAUGGCUGAGACACUGCUCUCAGCCUGGAUGACAGAGUGAGAACCUGUCUCAAACAAGAGAAAAAAAUAAAUCAAAUGCUACUCAAAAUUCUCA
rnacentral:lncRNA from 1 species